CAGCAGCCGCGGUAAUACGUAGGGUGCAAGCGUUAUCCGGAAUUAUUGGGCGUAAAGGGCUCGUAGGCGGUUCGUCGCGUCCGGUGUGAAAGUCCAUCGCUUAACGGUGGAUCCGCGCCGGGUACGGGCGGGCUUGAGUGCGGUAGGGGAGACUGGAAUUCCCGGUGUAACGGUGGAAUGUGUAGAUAUCGGGAAGAACACCAAUGGCGAAGGCAGGUCUCUGGGCCGUCACUGACGCUGAGGAGCGAAAGCGUGGGGAGCGAACAGGAUUAGAUACCCUGGUAGUCCACGCCGUAAACGGUGGAUGCUGGAUGUGGGGACCAUUCCACGGUCUCCGUGUCGGAGCCAACGCGUUAAGCAUCCCGCCUGGGGAGUACGGCCGCAAGGCUAAAACUCAAAGAAAUUGACGGGGGCCCGCACAAGCGGCGGAGCAUGCGGAUUAAUUCGAUGCAACGCGAAGAACCUUACCUGGGCUUGACAUGUUCCCGACAGCCGUAGAGAUACGGUCUCCCUUCGGGGCGGGUUCACAGGUGGUGCAUGGUCGUCGUCAGCUCGUGUCGUGAGAUGUUGGGUUAAGUCCCGCAACGAGCGCAACCCUUGCCCUGUGUUGCCAGCACGUCGUGGUGGGAACUCACGGGGGACCGCCGGGGUCAACUCGGAGGAAGGUGGGGAUGACGUCAGAUCAUCAUGCCCCUUACGUCCAGGGCUUCACGCAUGCUACAAUGGCCGGUACAACGGGAUGCGACACGGCGAGGUGGAGCGGAUCCCUGAAAACCGGUCUCAGUUCGGAUUGCAGUCUGCAACUCGACUGCAUGAAGGCGGAGUCGCUAGUAAUCGCGAAUCAGCAACGCCGCGGUGAAUGCGUUCCCGGGCCUUGUACACACCGCCCGUCAAGUCAUGAAAGUGGGUAGCACCCGAAGCCGGUGGCCCAACCUUUUGGGGGGAGCCGUCUAAGGUGAGACUCGUGAUUGGGACUAAGUCGUAACAAGGUAGCCGUACCGGAAGGUGCGGCUG
rnacentral:rRNA from 1 species